AUGGCUGCCAUGAAGGUUGUGGUGAAGCUGGACGUGCACGACGACAGGCAGAAGCAGAAGGCCAUCCAGGUCGUCUCCGCGCUGCACGGGAUCGACCACAUCGCCGUGGACAUGAAGGACCAGAAGAUGACGGUCGUGGGCACCGUCGACCCCGUCGCCGUCGUGGCCAGGCUGCGCAGCAAGCCCUUCCCCACGGCGCAGAUCUUCUCCGUCGGCCCGGCCAAGGAGGAGAAGAAGGAGGGCGAGAAGAACGACGCGGGCAAGCAGGUGGAGUACCCGACGUACUGGUACCCACCGCCGCCGUACCACCCGCACCUGUGCCACCUCGCCGAGGAGGACCCCAACUCGUGCGUCAUCUGUUGA
rnacentral:rRNA from 1 species